rnacentral:rRNA from 1 species
CCUACGGGGGGCAGCAGUAGGGAAUAUUGCUCAAUGGGGGAAACCCUGAAGCAGCAACGCCGCGUGGAGGAUGAAGGUUUUCGGAUUGUAAACUCCUUUUGUCAGAGAAGAUAAUGACGGUAUCUAACGAAUAAGCACCGGCUAACUCCGUGCCAGCAGCCGCGGUAAUACGGAGGGUGCAAGCGUUACUCGGAAUCACUGGGCGUAAAGAGCGCGUAGGCGGGAUAGCAAGUCAGAUGUGAAAUCCUAGGGCUUAACCAUAGAACUGCAUUUGAAACUGUUAUUCUAGAGUAUGGGAGAGGUAGGUGGAAUUCUUGGUGUAGGGGUGAAAUCCGUAGAGAUCAAGAGGAAUACUCAUGGCGAAGGCGACCUGCUAGAACAUAACUGACGCUGAGGCGCGAAAGCGUGGGGAGCAAACAGGAUUAGAUACCCCAGUAGUC